rnacentral:lncRNA from 1 species
GUAUUUCAGCUGAGAUGGGUUUUUUCCCCCUCUGAGCUGGAAAAACACUUAGGUCAGUGCUUUCAGAAGUCCAUGUCUAAAGCUAACUUCUUUGCCAGAACUUCUGCAAACACCGAGCACCCUCGGAAAGCAACUUCCGAAAACCAGGCCGCGUGUCUGGGAGCAUCUGUGCAAACAGAGACGUUGAGCUCCGGGUUCCCGUCUUAAAAACAUUCGGGACUCGAUCUGUCCUGUGAUGUUAGGACUUUAAGUCUUUGCAAAAGGAAAUCCUUGUGCAGUCGCAAAGUUGUUGUAGGGGCUCAGCGUGUGUUUAUUUAGUAAGGCAGUCGGUGCAGGUGAGCAGCAAGCCUGCCUGCUGCGGAGCGGGGCGCGGACGGCCAGACCUCCCGGGGCACGCCGGCACCCGUCGCCGCCAGCCCUGCCGAGGCUGGGCUUUGCAGAGCAGGGGGAAUUAAUCUGGCUGCUCGGAGAGGUGCUGCUUCAGUGGCUGGGUUGGCUCCUGGCAGAGCAGAGCCCGUGGGAUUUGCUGACCUGGCCAGGGGGAGUUGUUUGUGCUUUGGGCACGUCGGCGUGAAGCCAAGCGAGGGCGGCCAGCACGGCUUCCCAGCGUCGAGAGCAGCAGGGGACGGGGGACGUGCCGCUCGGGUUUCCUUUGCAGCAGUUCCGUCACCCGUAGAUCAUCUGCUUAUUCUCGGAACGUGAUCUGCUCCUGGAGCCUUGCUGGAGCUGAGUGCUCCCCCGCACCACCCCAUGACCAGUUUCCCCAUGUGGGUGCUGCUGGGCAGCCCCAUCCCAAGGCGCCGCGCCGCUCCCCAGCUUCGAAGCCGAGCCGAAGCCCUCUCGACCUCCGUGGCCGAAGUCGUGUUCAGCGCAAAUUCAUCCCAGUCCCACAUGCGGAAUUAGAUAACCUUAUCACCGCAUCCUGCACAGAUCAGUAACUCUGCAUGGCUGUCAGCUCCUUUCAGCCGGCCGUAAUUGCCUAGCAACGUCGCGCUGUCUCUUUGGAGGCAGCCUAAUUCGGUUUCUGGUCAUCCAUACCAGAGCCCCGCGCAGGCAUCUGGCAAAGCUGGGGGCAGACGGGCACGGAGAGCGGCCGGAGCAGCGGGCACCGUGAUGGGCAGGCAGCUCUAAGGUCUUCCUGAGCAGUCUGAGAUCCUGGUUAAGCUGUAUCCCCGCUGCUGUGCCACCAUUUAUC